GGAUGAGUCGAGCUCUAGCUCCUGGAUUCAGCGGCGGACGGGUGAGUAAUGCCUAGGAAUCUGCCUGGUAGUGGGGGAUAACGUCCGGAAACGGGCGCUAAUACCGCAUACGUCCUGAGGGAGAAAGUGGGGGAUCUUCGGACCUCACGCUAUCAGAUGAGCCUAGGUCGGAUUAGCUAGUUGGUGGGGUAAAGGCCUACCAAGGCGACGAUCCGUAACUGGUCUGAGAGGAUGAUCAGUCACACUGGAACUGAGACACGGUCCAGACUCCUACGGGAGGCAGCAGUGGGGAAUAUUGGACAAUGGGCGAAAGCCUGAUCCAGCCAUGCCGCGUGUGUGAAGAAGGUCUUCGGAUUGUAAAGCACUUUAAGUUGGGAGGAAGGGCAGUAAGUUAAUACCUUGCUGUUUUGACGUUACCAACAGAAUAAGCACCGGCUAACUUCGUGCCAGCAGCCGCGGUAAUACGAAGGGUGCAAGCGUUAAUCGGAAUUACUGGGCGUAAAGCGCGCGUAGGUGGUUCAGCAAGUUGGAUGUGAAAUCCCCGGGCUCAACCUGGGAACUGCAUCCAAAACUACUGAGCUAGAGUACGGUA
rnacentral:rRNA from 1 species